GAUGAACGCUAGCGGCAGGCCUAACACAUGCAAGUCGAGGGGUAGAGGAAGCUUGCUUCCUUGAGACCGGCGCACGGGUGCGUAACGCGUAUGCAAUCUACCUUUUACAGAGGGAUAGCCCAGAGAAAUUUGGAUUAAUACCCCAUAGUAUAUAUCAUUCGCAUGUUUGGUAUAUUAAAGUUCCAACGGUAAAAGAUGAGCAUGCGUCCCAUUAGUUAGUUGGUAAGGUAACGGCUUACCAAGACGAUGAUGGGUAGGGGUCCUGAGAGGGAGAUCCCCCACACUGGUACUGAGACACGGACCAGACUCCUACGGGAGGCAGCAGUGAGGAAUAUUGGUGAAUGGACGCAAGUCUGAACCAGCCAUGCCGCGUGCAGGAAGACGGUCCUAUGGAUUGUAAACUGCUUUUGUACGGGAAGAAACACUCCUACGUGUAGGAGCCUGACGGUACCGUAAGAAUAAGGAUCGGCUAACUCCGUGCCAGCAGCAGCCGCGGUAA
rnacentral:rRNA from 1 species